UACGGGGGGGGCAAGCGUUGUUCGGAAUUACUGGGCGUAAAGGGCUCGUAGGUGGCCAACUAAGUCAGACGUGAAAUCCCUCGGCUUAACCGGGGAACUGCGUCUGAUACUGGAUGGCUAGAGAUUGGGAGAGGGAUGCGGAAUUCCAGGUGUAGCGGUGAAAUGCGUAGAUAUCUGGAGGAACACUGGUGGCGAAGGCGGCAUCCUGGACCAACACUGACGCUGAGGAGCGAAAGCCAGGGGAGCAAACGGG
rnacentral:rRNA from 1 species